GACGAACGCUGGCGGCGCGCUUAACACAUGCAAGUCGAACGGAAAGGCCUGCUUUCCCUUGUGGACUGCGGGUACUCGAGUGGCGAACGCGUGAGUAACACGUGCGUGAUCUGCCCCCAACUUGGGAAUAAGCCUGGGCAACUGGGUCUAAUUACCGCCAGGUCCGCAGGGUGGUGUCUGUGGUUGCAAACGAUUUUCUAGUGCUUGGGGAUGAGCUCGCGGCCUAUCAGGUUGUUGGUGGGGGAAUGGCGUACGAAGGCUGGGUCGGGUAGGCGGCCUGGGGGUGUGGACGGCCGCAUGGGAACGGAGACACGGCCAAGACUCCUACGGGAGGCAGCAGUGGGGAAGCUGGAGCGAGGGACAGAGGCCUGAGGCAGCGACGCCGCGGGAGGGAUGACGGCCUUCGGGUUGUAAACUCCGGGCGACCGCGAGGAAGCCACCUGGUUGGAAGGGUGGUGACGGUAGUGGUAGAAGAAGCACCGGCUAACUACGUG
rnacentral:rRNA from 1 species